AAGGGCACUCUAAUGAGACUGCCGGUGACAAACCGGAGGAAGGUGGGGAUGACGUCAAGUCCUCAUGGCCCUUAUGGGUAGGGCUUCACACGUCAUACAAUGGUCGGUACAGAGGGCUGCCAACCCGCAAGGGGGAGCCAAUCCUUUAAAACCGAUCGUAGUCCGGAUUGAGGUCUGCAACUCGACCUCAUGAAGUCGGAAUCGCUAGUAAUCGCGGAUCAGCAUGUCGCGGUGAAUACGUUCCCGGGUCUUGUACACACCGCCCGUCAC
rnacentral:rRNA from 1 species